CCUACGGGUGGCAGCAGUGAGGAAUAUUGGUCAAUGGGCGGGAGCCUGAACCAGCCAAGCCGCGUGAAGGAAGAAGGCGCCAGGCGUCGUAAACUUCUUUUGUCGGGGAACAAAGGGCGCCACGCGUGGCGUUGUGAGUGUACCCGAAGAAAAAGCAUCGGCUAACUCCGUGCCAGCAGCCGCGGUAAUACGGAGGAUGCGAGCGUUAUCCGGAUUUAUUGGGUUUAAAGGGUGCGUAGGCGGUCCGGAAAGUCAGCGGUAAAAGCCCGGGGCUCAACCCCGGCGAGCCGUUGAUACUGUUCGGCUAGAGAGUAGUUGCGGUAGGCGGAAUGUAUGGUGUAGCGGUGAAAUGCUUAGAGAUCAUACAGAACACCGAUUGCGAAGGCAGCUUACCAAGCUACUUCUGACGUUGAGGCACGAAAGCGUGGGGAGCAAACAGGAUUAGAUACCCUUGUAGUC
rnacentral:rRNA from 1 species